CGCUCAGUUUCCAGGAUGCACACAUGAUUCUCAUGUAAUAAAGCAGUCAGGGAUUUUGCAAAGAUUAUUAGUGAUGCAAGGUGGUGAUGCGUGGUUGUUGGGAGAUAGUGGCUAUCCCAACACGCCUUGGCUCCUGACUCCUUAUUCCAACCCCACACCAGGACCCCAAACAAAUUACAACACAGUGCUUACAGCCACCAGGCAGGUUGUAGAGCGGUGUUUUGGGCUAUUAAAAAGCUGAUUUCGCUGCAUACACCAAACUGGUGGCACACGGUUGUAUUCGCUGGAAAUAGUUUCCAAAAUUGUGGUCCUGUGUUGUGUGUUGCAUAACAUCGCAAUAAGGAGUCGGGUGCCAUUUACCGAUGAGGACAUGUUGCCUGAGAAGGAGGAUGAUGAGGAGGAUGAUGAAGAUGAUGGCCCAGUGACAUCAGAAGUAAGAGGGAGGAUCUUCCGUGAUAAAGUGGUGAACAAAUAUUUUGGGCCAGGCACAACGACAACGCAGGAGGCAGAGACGCCAUCUGGCUAACAUCCGGAGGCAAGCAAGGGCACCCUCUGAGUCACCGCCACAACCCCCGCCUGCCUCGUCUUCCGAAUCCCCCUCUCCCUCUCACUUCCAAUCACCCUCUGCCUCUCCAUCUGCACCCCCCUCUCCCUCUCACUUACAAUCUCCCUCUGCCUCUCCAUCUGAACCCCCCUCUCCCUCUCACUUCCAGUCACCCUCUGCCUCUCCAUCUGAACCCCCUCUCACAAUCCUCCUCUGCCUCUUCUUCUGAAACCCCCUCUCCCUCUUACUUACAAUCCUCCUCUGCCUCUUCUUCUGAACCCCCCUCUCCCUCUCACUUACAACCCCCCUCUGCCUCUACUUCUGAAACCCCCUCUCACUUUCGUACCCAAACAACCUUCAACACUAAUAAUGGUGAGGGCACAGCUUCGGGGGCUGAUGCUGCAGAGCCAACAUUCCAAAGCCAACAAAGCCAGGCACAACGACAAUGCAGGAGGCAGAGACGCCAUCUGGCUAACAUCAGGAGGCAAGCAAAGGCACCCUCUGAGUCACCGCCACAACCCCCGCCUGCCUCGUCUUUCGAAUUCCCCUCUCCCUCUCACUUCCAAUCCCCCUCUGCCUCUCCAUCUGAACUCCCUCUCACUUUGAAUAAACCUCUGCCUCUGCUUCUGAAACCCCCUCUCCCUCUCACUUACAACCCCCCUCUGCCUCUCCUUCUGAACCCCCCUCUCACUCUCACAAUCCUCCUCUGCCUCUUCUUCUGAAU